UACGUAGGGUGCGAGCGUUUAAUCGGAAUUACUGGGCGUAAAGCGUGCGCAGGCGGUUCGUCGUGUCCGAUGUGAAAGCCCCGGGCUCAACCUGGGAAUGGCCAUGGAAACUGGCGAGCUGGAGUGUGGCAGAGGGGGGUGGAAUUCCGCGUGUAGCAGUGAAAUGCGUAGAGAUGUGGAGGAACACCGAUGGCGAAGGCAGCCCCCCUGGGCUAACACUGACGCUCAGGCACGAAAGCGUGGGGAGCAAACAGG
rnacentral:rRNA from 1 species